rnacentral:misc_RNA from 1 species
UCCGGUUUGGCACCGGCAGUCCUCUUAGAGUCCCCGACAUAACUCGCUGGCAACUAAGAGCAGGGGUUGCGCUCGUUGCGGCACUUAAGCCAACACCUCACGGCACGAGCUGACGACAGCCAUGCAGCACCUGUGCUGGCCCCUUACGGAGCCCUGCUUUCACAGGGUUUAACCAGCAUGUCAAGCCCAGGUAAGGUUCUUCGCGUUGCAUCGAAUUAAGCCACAUGCUCCGCCGCUUGUGCGGGUCCCCGUCAAUUCCUUUGAGUUUUAGCCUUGCGGCCGUAGUCCCCAGGCGGUGCACUCAUCGCGUAAGCUUAGGCACAGAAGGGCGCAAUCACCCUCCCGCGCCGGGUGCACAUCGUUUACGGCGUGGACUAC